rnacentral:tRNA from 1 species
CUGAGGUGGCAGAGCCCGGAAACUGCAGGAGACCUAAGCCCUCCCUACAGAGGUUCAAGUCCUCUCCUCAACU